CACGGGUGAGUAACGCGUACACUACCUACCUUUAACAGAGGGAUAGCCCUGGGAAACUGGGAUUAAUACCACAUAGUAUUGCAUAAUUUAUUUUUAUGCAAUUAAAGCUCCGGCGGUUAAAGAUGGGUGUGCGUUAGAUUAGCUAGUUGGUAAGGUAAUGGCUUACCAAGGCUACGAUCUAUAGGGGGCGUGAGAGCGUGGACCCCCACACGGGUACUGAGACACGGACCCGACUCCUACGGGAGGCAGCAGUAAGGAAUAUUGGACAAUGGGCGCAAGCCUGAUCCAGCCAUCCCGCGUGAAGGAUGACGGCCCUAUGGGUUGU
rnacentral:rRNA from 1 species